rfam:Lactobacillus kefiranofaciens subsp. kefirgranum DSM 10550 = JCM 8572 strain DSM 10550 NODE_138, whole genome shotgun sequence.
UACUCAGCAUAUUUGAUAGUAUGCAGUUUAAUAUAAUUAACGUAAGUUAGUUAAAGAAAGAGUAG